GGAGAGGUGGCCGAGCUUGGCCGAAGGCGCACGCCUGCUAAGCGUGUAUAGGGGCAAAACCUCUAUCGUGGGUUCAAAUCCCAUCCUCUCCGCCA
rnacentral:tRNA from 1 species